GGUUGAUCCUGCCAGUAGUCAUAUGCUUGUCUCAAAGAUUAAGCCAUGCAUGUCUAAGUAUAAGCUUGUUUAUACGGCGAGACUGCGGAUGGCUCAUUAAAUCAGUUAUAGUUUAUUUGAUGGUCUCUUUCAUUUUUUUUACCUACUUGGAUAACCGUGGUAAUUCUAGAGCUAAUACAUGCGCAAGGUCCCAAGCGCGGGGCGACUCCUCGUGGGUCGCUCGCAUGUGCAGCGGGAUGUAUUUAUUAGGUUAAAAACCAGCAUUCAAAACUUCACUGGUGAUUCAUAGUAA
rnacentral:rRNA from 1 species